rnacentral:rRNA from 1 species
CCUGGCGACCAUAGCAAGCGGGAACCACCUGAUCCCAUCUCGAACUCAGAAGUGAAAACGCUUUGCGCCGAUGAUAGUGUGGGGCUUCCCCAUGUGAAAGUAGGACAUUGCCAGGC